UACGAAGGGGGCUAGCGUUGCUCGGAAUCACUGGGCGUAAAGGGUGCGUAGGCGGCUUGUCGCGUCGGCUGUGAAAUCCCGUGGCUCAACUGCGGGUCUGCAGCCGAUACGGGCAGGCUAGAGUUCGGUAGGGGAGAAUGGAAUUCCCGGUGUAGCGGUGAAAUGACGCAGAUAGUCGGGAGGAACACCGGUGGCGAAGGCGGUUCUCUGGGCCUUACCUGACGCUGAGGAGCGAAAGCGUGGGGAGCGAACAGG
rnacentral:rRNA from 1 species